rnacentral:rRNA from 1 species
GAUGAACGCUGGCGGCGUGCUUAACACAUGCAAGUCGAACGGAACUACUCCAAUGAGAGUCUUCGGAAAGGAUUUGGUUUAGUUUAGUGGCGGACGGGUGAGUAACGCGUGGGUAACCUGCCCUAUACAGGGGGAUAACAGUUGGAAACGACUGUUAAUACCUCAUAAGCGCACAGGAGCGCAUGCUCCGGUGUGAAAAACUCCGGUGGUAUAGGAUGGACCCGCGUCUGAUUAGCUGGUUGGCGGGGUAACGGCCCACCAAGGCGACGAUCAGUAGCCGGCCUGAGAGGGUGAACGGACACAUUGGGACUGAGACACGGCCCAAACUCCUACGGGGGGCAGCAGUGGGGAAUAUUGCACAAUGGGGGAAAACCUGAUGCAGCGACGCCGCGUGAGCGAAGAAGUAGAUCGGAAUGUAAAGCUCUAUCAGCAGGGAAGAAAAUGACGGUACCUGACUAAGAAGCCCCGGCUAACUACGUG